rnacentral:rRNA from 1 species
GAUGAACGCUGGCGGCGUGCCUAAUACAUGCAAGUCGAGCGAACAGACGAGGAGCUUGCUCCUCUGACGUUAGCGGCGGACGGGUGAGUAACACGUGGAUAACCUACCUAUAAGACUGGGAUAACUUCGGGAAACCGGGGCUAAUACCGGAUAACAUGUUGAACCGCAUGGUUCAACAGUGAAAGACGGUUUUGCUGUCACUUAUAGAUGGAUCCGCGCCGCAUUAGCUAGUUGGUAAGGUAACGGCUUACCAAGGCAACGAUGCGUAGCCGACCUGAGAGGGUGAUCGGCCACACUGGAACUGAGACACGGUCCAGACUCCUACGGGAGGCAGCAGUAGGGAAUCUUCCGCAAUGGGCGAAAGCCUGACGGAGCAACGCCGCGUGAGUGAAGAAGGUCUUCGGAUCGUAAAACUCUGUUAUUAGGGAAGAACAAAUGUGUAAGUAACUAUGCACGUCUUGACGGUACCUAAUCAGAAAGCCACGGCUAACUACGUG